ACAUUAUUUUCUAUACACCACUUAUUCAGGCAUGAUACAUUUUUAAAAGCGCAGACAUUAGCAUGAUAUAUACAAUUUUGAAUAUCACAUUUAUUUGAAUAUUUUUCGCAUAAAGUCUUUAAAUUUGGGCAGUCAAAAUGUUCUAAAUUAUAAACAUUAUCACUGUCUGUUAUUUCUUUCACCCACUGCACUUUUUCAUAACCUUUUGUAUAAAUGUGUUUAUCUUUACAGUAAUCAACAAUCAAAUUCUUAUAAUUAAAAUAUGAUACAUAGCCUUCAUUCCAUAAUAUUCCUUUGUAUUUUUCCACCCAAGAGACUUGUGAACGUUCUUUCUUUGUUAAGGUAUAGAACGGAUGGGGAGGGCUGAUCAGAAACACAAGAAAACUUUUUUGAGAAAUAAUCGCCACUUCUUUUGGUUGGUUCGCUUCUAAUCCCUCGUCAUCGCUAUCGGCACCGAAUAGUUCCGCUGCAGUGCCGUGCCGCGGCUUCACAGGAGCUAUUCUGACCCUCUUGCUCGAGCUUGCUGACGAUGUCGAUGGCUUGGAUUUUUUCUUUUUUCGACCGCGUCAGCCUUCGGUGGUAGCGGUGGCGGUGCUGGCAAAUCUUCCUCAGUGGAGGAUGAGAGAUACGAAUCGGUAUGGGACGAACGUUUUGACCUGGAAAUAAAAAUAAGUUACUAUUAAAAUAUUAUUAAUUUAUAAUCUGCGUUAGAAUACUACGUAAAGGCUAUUUUAUGGUUUUGAGAACACACAACUAUCUAAUAUUUAUGUAUACACCUACCUCUUGCUCGAGCUCGUCGAUGUUGGCGGCUUGGAUUUUUUCUUUUUGUCGAUCACGUCAACCUUCGGCGGUGGCGGCGGCGGUGCCGACGAAUCUUCCUCCGUGGAGGAUGAGAGAUAUAAAUCUUCAGCGUGGGACGAGGGUUUUGACCUGGAAAUAAAAUAAAUAAUGUGCUAUUAAAAUAAUUCAUUUAUAAUUAUAAUUCUCCAUUACUCUAACGUUGUUUUAUUUGAAUAAUGAUUAAUUAUUUUUACGAGUUUGUUACUUUGCGAAUAUAAAUAAAUAAAUAAUAUAGGAUAUUCUUACUAAGUCCUACAGUAAGUUUGCGUUGCGAGUACUCGCAUAAUAACACAUAGAAAACAACCAUGACUCGGGAACAAAUAUAUGUGUUCAUCACACAAACCCUUACUGAGAUUCGACCCAGAAGCCCCUGGCUUAGUAGCUAGUCACUAACCAGUAGGUCAGAUAAGUCGUCAAAAUUAUAUAAGCAACAUUACAAUAUACAUUUAUUCACACUUACAUUGUAUGAUGAUGAUGUCCUUGUAGCUUCAGUAGAGAGAACAGUGGGUUUUCCUUGCUUCCUGUGUAGCGGAAUGAAUCAAGAGGAUCGAUCUGAGGAGCUUAAGUAGUGAAAAUUCACGUGGAGCUAACGCAAUACCUAUAUGAAAUUUGUCAACGUGAUUGAAAAACGCAACUCAGCACUUAGUCGGUGGAAACAAUCAUCGAUUGCAAAUCCCACAACGCAGCAAAAUCAGAUCACCGUGUAUAAUAUAAAACAAAUACGUGAAGAUAUAAACCCCCGAAAAUAAGUGAAAAUAUUAUUUACUCUUAUAUAUUCAACGCGAUUAGUUCUACGGAAAAUAUGUCGGUAAGUAUUUUUUUUAGAGUGAGUGUUUGUAUUAUUAUUAUAAAAUAAUUUCAAAUUAUAAUGGUUACAUUACUCAUACGUAAUUGAUAUAAAAUAAUAAUUAAGUAAAUACAAUUUUUAAUGUAUGUGUCUGCUUAGCGCUAAGUCCACCUGUAGUCACCUACUUCGUUAAUUUCAUCGGAUUUCUCUGUAACUUAUGUUUUUUUUUUUGUGUGCAAUAAAAUAUUUUAUUAUUAAUGUAACUUAUUUCAAGUUUUCAUUUAAUUAAAAGUUAAUACUCGUAGUUAACAUUAAACUAAUAACUUAAUUAUUAAUUACAGGAUACAUCAGAACACCUAUUCAACUUCGUUCCUUUGGCAUCAUCCCAAACUCAAAGUCAGAGUGAACGGGAG